CGUGGGUACGGUCAGUAACACGUAGUCAACCUGCCCUGGAGACAGGACAACCCCGGGAAACUGGGGCGCCUUGAUAGGUCAUCUCAUCUGGAAGGAGAGAUGGCUUAAAGGGGUACGCGGGCUUCUUCCGCGUAUUCGCUCCAGGAUGGGACUGCGUCCGAUCAGGCUGUUGGCGGGGUAAUGGCCCACCAAACCUGUAACCGGUACGGGCCUUGAGAGAGGUGGCCCGGAGAUGGACACUGAGAGAAGGGUCCAGGUCCUACGGGGCGCAGCAGGCGCGAAACCUUCGCAAUGCGCGAAAGCGUGACGAGGUUAAUCCGAGUGGCCCCCGCUGAGGGGGUCUUUUGUUUGCUGUAAAUAGGCAGGCGAAUAAGGGGAGGGCAAGCCUGGUGUCAGCCGCCGCGGUAAUACCAGCUCCUCGAGUGGUCGGGGCGAUUAUUGGGCCUAAAGCAUCCGUAGCCGGUUCCGUAGGUCCUCUGUUAAAUCCACCCGCUCAACGGGUGACCUGCAGAGGAUACCGCGGGACUAGGAGGCGGGAGAGGCGGACGGUACUCCGCGUGUAGGGGUAAAAUCCUUUGAUCCGCGGAAGACCACCAGUGGCGAAGGCGGUCCGCCAGAACGCGCUCGACGGUGAGGGAUGAAAGCUGGGGGAGCGAACCGGAUUAGAUACCCGGGUAGUCCCAGCCGUAAACGAUGCUAGCUAGAUGAUUCAUUCGCAAGUCGCGAAUGAAGUGUCGCAGGGAAGCCGUAAGCUACCGCCUGGGGAAACGCUCG
rnacentral:rRNA from 1 species